rnacentral:lncRNA from 1 species
UGGGUUUAGAUUUUUGUUUCUUUUCUUUCAAUUUUUGUUUUAAUUUUUGUUUCUAUUUUCGUUUCUCUCGUCUUGAAUAACUGGGCAUGAAGGAGUAUAAAUGGUGAUGAACGACAAUUUGCAGAAUACUUGAAUGGUUUCUGAUUCUGGGAAUACUUGGAAAUUUUGAGAAUACUUGAAAAUUUGGAAAUCUGAAACUUGUUGAAAUUUGCAGGAAUUUGUUAAAGAUGAUGAAUAUGAGAAUGUUAACCAUUUUUAAACUUACUGUUGAAAUCAGAAAUUCACUGUUCCGGCGGCUCCGGCGGCC